rnacentral:sRNA from 1 species
AAAAAUAAAAUAAGAAUUCAGUUAAAACUAACGCAGCGGUGACGAAACGAACAUAGACACUUGCGGCAGCGACAGCGGCAUGAAAACGAACAUGCACACAAGUUGCGUCAGCGGCAGCGGUAAUGGCUGCAGUAGUGGCGACGAAACGAACAAUAAUCUGCAGUAGAGUUUGCCGCCGCCGCUACCGUCUGCGGUGGUGAAACGAACAGACUAAUAUAUAAAAACA